rnacentral:rRNA from 1 species
ACGUUCGGAGUUGCAGCCUGCAACUCGGCUGCAUGAAGCUGGAAUCGCUAGUAAUCGCAGAUCAGAAUGCUGCGGUGAAUACGUUCCCGGGUCUUGUACACACCGCCCGUCACACCAUGGGAGUUGGGAAUGCCCGAAGUCAGUGACCCAACCGCAAGGAGGGAGCUGCCGAAGGCAGGCUUGAUAACUGGGGUGAAGUCGUAACAAGGUACC